AAGCCAUCCCAUCUGUUUUGUUGUCCAAGCAAAUGUCACCAGCUCUGUGUACCAGUCUGUUCAUCGAUGUGUUGUUGUGACUGUUGGAAACAGACCAACUGUGACUUCAACCACUGUCGUUGCUCCCACCAUCCCUUUGACAACUUCAAAUCCUCCCCCAAGAACA